AUAUUGAGUUUUAAAUGUACUUCCACGCUCCUAGUGAGAAAAAGUUAAAACACAAACUUUGACUUUCCUCUGAAGUGACAGUGAUUAUUUUUGUUCUUUGCUCAGCUAUGAUGACGCAUUUGGGUUUGUCUGCAUCAACUUUAAACAGAAAGAAGUGGACAGUGCAAGGACUAUCACAUUACGCUAACCUGUCCCUCUGAUUUCUGCCAAGGUUGGAGGACGCGUUGGAGGACGCGUUGGUUUGACUUGGACAAUGGAAUGAGACCAUGCUUCAGCUGCAGAUGGAAUACCCCAAUGAGAUCUGUUCCCAGCCUGUGGCCAUCGAAGCCAUAACCAUGUCUGACAACCCCGCUCUACAGAUCGGAGACGUCCUCCAAGUAGCAAGAUGGUAGACGCUGUCAGGACUACAAAGUCUGUUUCACCUGCCCUCAGGCAUUCUGCUCAGUGGACAACCAAAGAGAACCAAUCCACAUGAAAGCAAAAAGAACCCGAGUUCUGCGCCGAAUGGGACAAAUUUGCUUUUGGUCUGAGUUACUUUAUAUAUGAAGGAGCUGUAAUUCCUAAUGGCUGCUAUAGAAUAUAACAUGGAAAAGCAAUCCUUCGUCUGCCUUACUUCUGACCUGUAAAAGUAAAAUGCUUUAGUCUAUGUGGAACAGGGUUGUGGUCAAUUCAAUUUCAAUUCCAGUCAAUUCAGAAAGUAAACCAAAUUCCAAUUCCUAUUCCAAAUGUUCCUUAUUGAAAAACAUUAGAGAGAAUUGGAACUUCAGUGUACUUCCUGAAUUGGAUUGAAUUAAAAUGGAAUUGACCCCAACCCUGAUGUUGAAUUGAUAUCUAAACGUACAUUUCUUCACGUUAACAUUAGCAAAUAUGUACUAUCAUGUUUCCUUUCAUGUACUUUACAUUGUAGCCUACAGGUUAUCAACAAUUACAGUAAGCCAUAGUGUGUAAAAAAGACAGUGAUCACAGAUGCACAGAGAGGCACAGACAUUUAUCAAAAAUUCAACGUCUACACAAUGUAGUCUAAAUUUGGAUGGCUAGACUCAUGGGGAACUGAAUUCCUUAGAAAUCUCAGAUUUAGUAUGUCAAUGCAAUGAGUUCAUGUGUGGAAUGUGUUUGUUUUCUCCUGUGGUGUACUAAAACAAUCACAGAAUGAAGGCAGUGUCACAUACCCUACAACCGUUAGGACUAUGUACUGGUAGACAUAAUGUUGGUCAUUUCAUGUUUAUCUUUCCAAGUUCAGCAAACGUUAGUGAACUAACUUGAGGAAUGACUUGAGCCCCAAGUCAGAAAACAUACUACUGUAUCCUAAUAAUCUGAAUUAAAAAGUGAACAGCAAGCAAAAUAAAAAUACAUUUGAUGGUGGUUUGUCAAGAUAUUCUCUUUGCAACUGUGCAUCUAAAAUACUGUGAGUGAUUUAUUGAUUAAUAGAGUGGCAAAUCAUUGGGUAUUGAUUGACUUUGCUGCUAAUAAAUUAUUUUGUGAUCAUGUCACUUUGCA